UUUUUCACAAAAUUUCCUUCAAGUGGUAUCAGAGCCUAGGUCUAGUAGUUGGUGAAUCUUUUUGGGUUUUGUAUUUUCAUAGUUUAUGAUUUGAAUGUUGUAAUUGUUACAAGCUUUAUUCUUGCUUCUUUGAAUGUAAAUUUUGCUAGAAAAUUUGCCAUCUCAAAUGUUGUAGAUGUAGUUCUCUUGAGCAUGAAUAUUGGAGCUAAAAUUUGGUGCCAUGACUUUGGGGAAAUUCGGCCAAAUCCAAAGGGUGGAUUUUUGGGUUAUUGUUUGACUUGAUAAAAGUGUUUUAAGGUGACUUUUGGAACCCCUAUGUACCCUAGUAUGGUUAUAUGUUAUUUCCCUUAAGUUUGAGUGGUUUUGGGAUUUCUUUGGAUGAAAAAUGUUCAUGGAGCUCUUAUGGGUUUUUCAUGAAUGUUCUUCAUUGUUCUUGACAUUUUAGCCAAGAACAAAAAGUUUGGUGUUUUGAUUCAAAGUUUUGAUUUAUUUCAUAAAGUCUUUGUUUUGUGCUUUAUCAAAUGUUUUAAUGUGAUUGAAAUUGUGUAAGGUGAUAGAAAUGGUGAUGGGUGUGUAAGAAGUUCUUCUCUUACACACACAUCACUUGCAUGACUUUAUGUCACAAACCACUUGCAAGGCUUUAUGACUUAGUUAAAAAAAUUUCCAAAUUUUGUGGCUUCAAUUUUUUCCCUCCCUUUCUCCUAAAACCGGCCACCCUAUUAAAAUAGGGUAAUUUUGGGGCUUUUAUGCAAUUACAUAAAGUUUUGAUACUUUUGUGUUUUUGCACUUUGACCCAAAAAUUUACGUAUUUACGUAAAGGCCCAAAAUCAUUAAAGGACAAAUUGUUUUGUUCCUUUAAUGAAGUUUUUGAAUUUGUUGAAAUUUUUGGGUUCUAGUUGUAAUUACAUGAAGUAGUGGACUUUUGUGUUUUUACAAAAUGAGCUCAAAAAUUUACGUAUUUACGUAAAGGCCCAAAAUCAUUAAAGGACAAAUUGUUUUGUUCCUUUAAUGAAGUUUUUGAAUUUGUUGAAAUUUUUGGGUUCUAGUUGUAAUUACAUGAAGUAGUGGACUUUUGUGUUUUUACAAAAUGAGCUCAAAAGUUUAAGUUUUGCAACAUAGCCCAAAAGGUUGAGGUUAUUGCAUUUUGGCCCAAAUUAGGUUGAGAACAAAAUGGUUUUGUCUCUUUAAAUGAGAAUUGGAUUUUCAUUUCAUUUAGCUCCAUUUAAAUCAAUUUUAUGGAUACAAAAACCAAAUGAAAAUGUUGCAUUCAAUUUAAUUAGUUAAAGUGUUAAUUAAUUAAAGGGUGAUUAUGAACCUAAGCCUACGAUAAUUGAGCUAUGUGAAAGGCCGUUUCAAAUUUGUUUGAACCAUGGGAAUGUGUAGAUUAGAUUUUGGUUGUAAUUUGAUUUGAUCAAAUGUUGUAAAAGAGCACAAGCUCUUCUUUACUUUAAAGUAAUUUGUAUUAUUCAAAUGUUGUAAAAGAGCAUAAGCUCUUCUUUACUUUGAAGUACUCAUUUUCUUGUUUUAUUUGAUAUGCAUGAAAUUGGAGUAGUUGGGUCCAACGCCCAAUAAGACAACACGCCUUAAUGUGAUUAAACGCGUAACUAAAAUCAAUCACCAUCCCUAGACCGAGAUUCAACACUA
rnacentral:lncRNA from 1 species